rnacentral:lncRNA from 7 species
CGCUCCCUGGGGGCUGAUUCAGGUGAAACUGCCUCCAUUUAUGGCUCUUCUAAGCUGAAAACUGCAUCAGAAAGGAGCUUUAUCCGCUGCACCGUGUCCACUUCUCUGGGGAGUUUUGGACUUUGCUGGAGGGUGAAGGAGGACGGGGGUCCCUUCCGUGAUGACAUGAGUGCUCUCAAGUCCCUGCCUGUAGCAGACAGCAGCUAUGGAGAAGCGCAGAGACAAGAGGGAGAUGUAACAGCAUCAGUUCAAAGAGAUGCAAAAAGGUGCACAAGCGACAGUGGAACCAAGUCCAAAAACACUGCUGAGCUGGUGCCUUCAGGAAUUGCAUGCUGAAAUGCCAGCACUGAAGCUGAGUGGUAGUCAUGAUGGUGUUAAAUGAAUGGAAGAACAUUCUGUAGACAGAGCAUUUCGAAGAGACCAAUGAAAGAAACAAAUGUUUUGUCAGAGAAGAUGAGAUCCAUCAAGGUAAGAAACACCAAACUGCGUUAGCAAGAAAUAAAGGCCUUAAAUAACUGUUUCUCAUAGAACAUUGAAGUUUUGCUGUUCCAGAAACCUACAUCCAUUGGCUUGUAUAAAGGUGGAUCCAAACUUAACUUGAAUUAUCAAAUAAAACAGUUGACAAUGUGUUACAAAGCCAACACAGUUCUGCUCUGCCUACUUUCACUUACUGGUUAGACAGUACACUUGGUGUCUGUUUUCCAGCACAGGACCACAGCUGAUCUCCCAUUUUGAUUGGGCAGCUUUCUAUUCAAGCUGGUUUGAAAUGGUUAAACAAUGGGCGGUAGGUUAAAAGCUAGAAUUCUCUUUGAUAACCUAAUGUUACCCUUUGACUUUGUCCACUUAUUCCAUCUUCAAAAGAAUCAAGUUUCAAAGGAAGAAAGAAAAACUAACGAAGGUCCAGCACCAGAAGGUGAGAAACAUUUCCUAUGAGGUUCUGAGUGUUGUCUGCUGUUAUUAAUAUUUUUUAUCUUGCCUGUCAACUGAGGCAGAAAGCCGAUUUCCUGGGAGGUCAAAUAUGCACUGUGGAAGUCAUAGCUGCAAUAACAAGGCAUUACAUUCUGUUCCCCUGUGUUCUAUUCACGUAAGGAUGAGUGAGGGGCCCAGUGUGUUGAUCGAUCUAUCAACCAUUCUCUAGCUGAAAGGGAGUGUACGCUUCUGAGGGGAAAUAAAGGGAGAGAAAGUCCCUCAGUUGACUGUAACCGGCACUUGAGGGCAUGAAAGCUAUUGCAGCUCCUGGUUUUAGUAAAUGAAUUGAAAGAAAUGUUUUUAUCCAAUCAUUUCUCAGCUAUGAGGUAAAAAUAAGCCAUUUCCUAAAUUAUGGAGGCCGCCUAGAGCUAGCUCUAUCCCACAGAUAAGACAGCUAUGUAAGGCCAGUGAAAUAUUUUUGAUUAUUAUUAUUUAUUCAUGCCUGAAUUAUUUAACACCCAGAGGUCUUGAACAGAAGCAGGCUCCUACAGAGUUCACUGCUCUGUUUGCUUUGAGGAUGGGCAGCGAAGGGUCUCCUGGCUGCUUCCUUGCACUGUGAGCACUAUGAUGGGCAGCUGCAAACUCUCAGGGGAAAGAAAAGCCAUCACCUGGUACUGGCUGCCCUAAGAUAUUUGCCCUGUGUGCUCUCAGAGCAAAAAUUCAGAACACUUUUGGCAAGGGACAGGGCACAUAUCAUAACACAGUUCAUUUAUCUGGGCUAUGUGUAAACCUCCGCUGCUGCUGAACUUGUUUUACUCAAGUAAACACCCUGAAAAAUAAACCAGAGAAAGGGUAACAUUAAAAUUGGCAUGGCACACGACAAAAAACAGCGACGUUUGUGUGAGCAGUUAUUUCACACAGUCCAUCUGGAUCAGGAGACAGCAGGAUCUUGUGUGCUAAGAAAUGCAUGCAGAAGAAUAAAUAGUCCAGGUCUCGGUUCUGCAUUGGGCCCUACCUCAAACCAACCAUCCUUACUGAGGAGUGACAUCAAGUGAGUAGUGAGCAACUGAUAUUAUGUUCUUGUGAAACGAGAGCCACACAUGACCCCCAAUGCUGCCAUGUUCUUUAAAAAUAGCUUUUCAAGUGAUACCUCCUCCAAAGAAUAAUGGCCAAGUGCAAGGACAGAGUCAUAACAAUGCCAUUCUUUCAAGCAGAAGGUGAUCUUUAUGUCAAGGAAAGCCAAAAGCUUGCUGAAGUUCAUAAUGGUUGUGUCAAGUUGAAAGUUUUAACAUCCAGUCUCUGCCCUAUCUGAGCUUGAAGGAUAUUAUUUUCCAAUCACAGGGGAAUGUGAGGGGAGCUCAAUAUACCUCACUAGACUUGUCCUAAAAAAACAGUUUGCUCUCUGUUAGAUCAGCAUCCCAAAAUUCCAGCAUGAUAAGUCUGCAGAUGAAUAUUUAUCAUACAGUCCUUCUGAG